GGCCCCAUCGUUCAACCGGUUAGGACAGCGGCCUUUCACGCCGUAAACUGGGGUUCGAAUCCCCAUGGGGUCA
rnacentral:tRNA from 1 species